UACGGGGGGGGUAAGCGUUGUUCGGAAUUACUGGGCGUAAAGGGUCUGUAGGUGGCUUGCUAAGUCAGAUGUGAAAUCCCUCAGCUUAACUGGGGAACUGCGUCUGAGACUGGCGAGCUUGAGUGCAGGAGAGGAACGCGGAAUUCCAGGUGUAGCGGUGAAAUGCGUAGAUAUCUGGAGGAACACCGGUGGCGAAGGCGGCGUUCUGGACUGCAACUGACACUGAGAGACGAAAGCCAGGGGAGCAAACGGG
rnacentral:rRNA from 1 species